rfam:Jaapia argillacea MTCL 33604 unplaced genomic scaffold JAAARscaffold_45, whole genome shotgun sequence.
GCCGGCAUGGCCAAAUGGCAAGGCGUUCGCUUCCUAGGUAUUUGUAGUGCGCUGAGCACGUACCCUUAAGCGAAAGAUUGUGGGUUCGAUCCCCACUGUCGGUA